NNNCCUGUAGCUCAGUGGUUAGAGCACUCGCCUCAGAAGCGAGCGACCUGGGUUCGAUUCCCAGCAGGGCGA
rnacentral:tRNA from 1 species